ACUCGGGAAUUAUAGUUAUUUUAUAGUUGGACUGGUGAGGUUAAAUUUUGGUUCGAUUUAGUUAUGAACUUUUUUAUGUUUUCGGGGGACACGGUGUUUAUUAGAUUUGUACAACACUUCAGAUCCCUCACAAGAACUCAGGUUCAUGAAACUUAACACAUUCAUGGUAUACGUAUACGGAUCAAGAACAUACCAUUUGAACGUUUGAAGGUUGAUUUCUUGUUUUCACCGGAAAUACCGGGUUGUAAAUCUCCAAUGAAAGAAUGUUACUUGGUU